rnacentral:rRNA from 1 species
AUUAAACGCUGGCGGCAUGCCUUACACAUGCAAGUCGAACGGCAGCACGGGAGCAAUCCUGGCGGCGAGUGGCGAACGGGUGAGUAAUAUAUCGGAACGUGCCCAGUAAUGGGGGAUAGCCCGGCGAAAGCCGGAUUAAUACCGCAUACGACCUACGGGUGAAAGCAGGGGAUCGCAAGACCUUGCGUUAUUGGAGCGGCCGAUAUCAGAUUAGCUAGUUGGUGGGGUAAAAGCCUACCAAGGCGACGAUCUGUAGCUGGUCUGAGAGGACGACCAUCCAAACUGGGAGUGAGACACGGCCCAGACUGCUACGAGAGGCAGCAGUGGGGAAUUUUGGACAAUGGGCGCAAGCCUGAUCCAGCCAUGCCGCGUGUGGGAAGAAGGCCUUCGGGUUGUAAACCACUUUUGUCAGGGAAGAAACGCUCUGGGCUAAUACCCUGGGGUAAUGACGGUACCUGAAGAAUAAGCACCGGCUAACUACGUGCCAGCCGCCGCAGUAACAC